GACGACUCUCUCUGACAGGCAGAUGUGGGUCUCUAUGCUUAUGGAAAGAAAGGUGUAAAACAAGGCAAGGCCACCUCUUUACCGAUUCAAGUACGAAAGAACUGAUGAGGGUGAGGAAGCUGAGCUUUCUCCAACAAUCUUCUCAAAGGAUGGCAGGAGAGGUGACAGGAAGAGGGUUGAAAGAUGUGUGAAGCACAACAGCGUGGUAGAGACGGAGUACGAUGAUGUCGAUGUGAAGGAAGUGCAUGUUGUGCAAAUACUCCCUUCAAGGCCCAUAAAAGAUGAGGAGCACGUAUAUGCAGACAGGGAUCUUCCAAGAUCAUCAUCCAGCCACAGCCUCUUGUCCAUCUGCUCGGGCGACGCCAACGUCGACACAACAACAGGCAAGAUACGAGACAUAAAUGUGAAGGAAUUAGGAGAUUUCUUUGCAGUGGAAGGGUGUGUGAAAUGUAUAGAGAAAUUCUAUUUUAGAUUUGGUCUUUCAUCAGUACAAAACAUUUUAGGUAAGUGUUCCAUCAAAAAGCCAUUUAUUAUAUUUGAUUUUAUUGUUGUUUUGGUUUUACUUUUUCUCCCCACAAAUUGUACAAGUAAAUGCAGUUUCUGACCAACUAAUAAAAUAGCUUGGAGUGGAGGAUCA
rnacentral:lncRNA from 1 species